GAAUAUCGGCCCGACCCAAUUGAAAUUAAAAUAGGGUUGCAAAAGUGGACAUUUUGUAACCGUUGCGAAAUGCAAACACACACUAACACACUAUAAAAUAUGGAACAUUCGCUCAAAAUGAAAUAGAAAAAUAACAAGGAAAAACAAAAUUUAUUUGUUCUAUUCUAACCUUCUCAUCAUCUCAGGCUGCCGCAUUCCUCCGCCUCCAGCCUCGGUUUCUUCUUUGUUUAGGUUCUAGGUUAAUUAUUUCAAGUUUCUUGAAAUUCAACUACUACAUGGGUUCUGUUGUAUGCUGUGAAUUACUACUACGAGGACAAGGGUGCGGGAUUUAAAUGCAAGAAUACCAGUGAAGAAGUUGAUGUUGGUUCAAGACUGGUUGGGAGAAUAGUCAAGAAGGCUCCCAUCAUUGGAGAUUCUCAGGUCUCUUUCCUUUGGUUAACAACUUAAUGCCGGUGAAGAUGAUCUUGCACUAGUUUCCUUGUCCACUCGCUGAUUUGGAGUGUGAACCUUUUGCACCAGUUUUCAUGUCGAUCGGGUUCAAGUAGUUCGAAGUAUGAGCUUGAAGAAAUCAGCGACCGGCUUAAAAAAUUUAUGUACUUGUUCUUUCAAAUUAUAGUAGUGAGAACGCGGAGCUUUUAUAAAAAUUAUAGCUGACCUUUGAUUUUGAAGUGUAUAAAGAGGAAUACAAUGAUUUUUCAGCUUUUCUUAUUUUCAGACAUGGGAGAAAUUGACAGAGGAAUUGCACAGGAACAUAGAAUACUUUUUAAGAUAGAAGAAGAGGGAGAGAGAGAAAUGGAUCGAUAUAUAAGUUGCAAUUUGGUUUUAAAUGAUGAUAAGACUGACAUUAAAAUGAAGUUGAAGAAUUUUUCGAGGGCACGAGUUGAAGGACAUUUGCAACUUUCUAAUGUAGAGAGUCUUGGUUGUAAAUUAGAAUACCUUGUUCAUGGGAGCUUUAGCCUUCAGGGUAAAUUUGUAUACUUUGUUGUAAAGCUUAUCCUUUAGCCAAAGAAAUGAAAAAUUUCUUCCAAGAGAAAGGGAAAUUGUCGCCUGAUUUGAUAAAUCAUAAUAAAGUGUUCACAAUCCAACUCGUUGUAUCUCAAAGGCUGAUAAUCAAACAUUAAAAUUCAGAAGUAAUAAAAACAUAAUCUUUUAACUCAUCACGAGCAAAACCAAAACUAAAACACAUAAUCUUCACUUUUCCCUUCAGAGAUAUGUAAGCAUCAUUUAAUCAGGUGGUGUUCAAACAGCUCUUUCGCUUUUGAAUUUGAAAAGGAAAUAAUAAUAAUUAUACCAAUAAUAAUAAAGGACAUAUCGGAAA